rnacentral:piRNA from 1 species
GCGCUCGGGUCUGGCGCGAUCGGUCGGUGC